rnacentral:rRNA from 1 species
GACGAACCGUGCGAACGUUGUUCGGAAUCACUGGGCUUAAAGGGCGCGUAGGCGGGCUGCCGCGUCCGGGGUGAAAUCCACCAGCUCAACUGGUGGACGGCCUCGGGUACGGGCGGCCUCGAGGGGGGUAGGGGCAUCUGGAACUGUGGGUGGAGCGGUGAAAUGCGUUGAGAUCCACAGGAACUCCGGUGGCGAAGGCGAGGUGCUGGACCCCAUCUGACGCUGAGGCGCGAAAGCCAGGGGAGCAAACGGG